AUUGAACGCUGGCGGCAGGCCUAACACAUGCAAGUCGAACGGUAACAGGAAACAGCUUGCUGUUUCGCUGACGAGUGGCGGACGGGUGAGUAAUGUCUGGGAAACUGCCUGAUGGAGGGGGAUAACUACUGGAAACGGUAGCUAAUACCGCAUAACGUCGCAAGACCAAAGAGGGGGACCCUCGGGCCUCUUGCCAUCGGAUGUGCCCAGAUGGGAUUAGCUUGUUGGUGGGGUAACGGCUCACCAAGGCGACGAUCCCUAGCUGGUCUGAGAGGAUGACCAGCCACACUGGAACUGAGACACGGUCCAGACUCCUACGGGAGGCAGCAGUGGGGAAUAUUGCACAAUGGGCGCAAGCCUGAUGCAGCCAUGCCGCGUGUAUGAAGAAGGCCUUCGGGUUGUAAAGUACUUUCAGCGGGGAGGAAGGGAGUAAAGUUAAUACCUUUGCCCAUUGACGUUACCCGCAGAAGAAGCACCGGCUAACUCCGUG
rnacentral:rRNA from 1 species